rnacentral:lncRNA from 1 species
CAGCAGCUUCUGAAAUGGACAAAUCCAGAAAAGUUGUGACAUACACGACGGGCUUCUUUUACAUGGUCAGGGCACUAUCUGAGUAAGUAGCCAGUUCAAAGUAUGGAUGUCAACUCAGAAAGAAUUGGGCAGUAAUUAGCAAAGAUGGUGUUGAAGUUUGCAAGAACCUGUUUCAGUUUAAAAACUUCUCCAGCUCGUAAUGCUCAGAUGUAUUUUCAGGCACGCAACAUUUCCUCCCAGAAAUUCUUCUCUGGCACAGGGCAUAAAGCAAGAGACUGCAUCUGUGCAGCCUGCAUUAAUUAGACUGUAUUAUUUAAAAGGAAGUGCAUGUUCAGACAUUGUUUAGUGCUAAUGCUUUACUUUCCAUUAAACUUAUUAUUAUUGCAUUUACAUUUGCUUUAUACAAAAGAAAAAGUCUCAGAGUGACUUGAUAGAUUAAAAUACAACGAAUGAAGAGUAUUUGAAAACCAGAAAACUUUAAAACAAUGAACAAAACAAAUGUGUAAAAUGCUCAUCUAGUGAAAUAUUAAUAAGGGCAAGUCUUAGCCCCUCACAAAAAGAUAAACACCACUGUAAAAACUUAGAAUUGUAGAGCUGGAAGGGACCACGAGGGUCAUCUAGUCCAACUCCCUGCAAUGCAGGAAUCUUUUGCCCAACCUGGGGCUCGAACCCAUGGCCCUGAGGUUAAGAGGCUCAUGCUCAACUGAUUGAGCUAUCCCAGGGAGACACUCAGAAGGCAUCUUACUUAUCAAAUACCUGGGUAAGCAAAGAAAUCUUAGACUUGUGCCUAAAGACUGACAAAAAUAGUUCCAGGUGCAACUCCCUGGGGAGAAUAUUCCAUAAAUGGGGGCCACUGCUGAAAAUGUACACAGGUUAUACAUUGACAAUAAAGGUAUUAUUAUUAUUAUUAUUAUUAUUAUUAUUAUGCUCAUCUGGCUGUCUUUUGUAUCUCCCUCAGGUAGAGCACAUGCAGGAGUCUACAAAGAAGACCAUAGUGAUUAAUAUAUAAUUGGCAUGGCUGAAGAUCUCCCUGUCACAUGACCAUUUAUUUCCGAUUCCCACAAAUUCGGCACCUGUCAGAGACUGGGCAGAGGAGGAAUGGUGAAGACCGCCUCCCCAGCCUGACCCUUCCAGGGAGGGGAAGUGGAAGACAGUUCAGAUUUACAACAGGGGUUUGAGGGAGGUCACAGCUCAGAGGCAGAUGAGGGGGGAAGUUGGGAAAUAAAGGGAGAGGAGGAGGAGGAGGAAGCAGCACGGGGGAGAGACAACUGAUGGACACAGUGUCUUUAGAAAGCAUUCCAGACCACCCCUCUCUCCCAGAACCCGGCAAGCCUUGAAAGUAGGAGAGCAAAGAGCUCAAAGACAGAGGGCACGUAGAAGUGACGAAUGAGGAAGUGGGAGAGACGUGUGUGUGUGUGUGUGUGUGUGUGUGUGUGUGUGUGUGGAGAUUCACUUGGGACAACGCCAUUAUCCAAGGGGCUGGGUUCUAUAGCCUCUCUCUGUAAAUACUAAAUAAAAAGAAGACGGUAAGAAACAUUCCCUUGUCUUUGUAUGUUCCUGGCAACCAGCCGGGAGUUGCUGACAGCAGCCUGACAGUACAAAUGCAAGCUCCUGACUGGAGCUCCCGAAUGCAGACUCCCACCCCCACCCCGCCUUGAAAAUGGGACAUGCAGUCAGCACUGAGCAGCUGAUCGGUGCUGAUUUCAAGCGUCACUGGGUUCAGCUGCAUGGGAGCUCCCUACUGCAGCCUAUUCCUACCAAAAUCAAGGACUGAGAUCUGUGCUGAAUUUAAAUUCAGCACUAAUGGUAAGACCAGCUAUCAGCAGGUCUUUGCAGCCUGGCUUGAAGUUAAUUCAUUUCCAUAAGACAGGUCCUUAUAAAAAAAUAUAUCAACAUGGCUUAAAGAAUCCCAGCUAAAAUAAUAUAACAAAGAGAAGC